CUCCCUCCUACCAGAUUUGUAGAGCACUUCAAAUUACGACUGCUUCUCCACACAAGCCUGAAAGGCUAAUAAUAGUCAAUUAUGCCAUUCUGGAAGAAUGAAGACUAUUCCAGCCAAUAGUAGGAUGACUCGGGCCCCACAGAGACCGCGGCCGCUGCGCUGGCAGGUGGCACACGGCAGGUGCUCCAGGGCCCAGGUCGCUGCAAGGGUCACACCUGCCGUUCAGCAGAUGCAGAAACGCGCUGCCUCCCCAGCGCCACUGUACCCCUGCUGCCACCAGCGGUCCUUUUCCCUUGGGAUCCCUGGAGUGUGCGCCCCAAGGUCUCCUGUGGGGCCCCCCCCCGACAUUUCCUCUAUCCCUCCCGGCGCUAGAGAUGCUUCAGGUGUGGCCUGCAGGUAGGUCCGGGAGGGUUACAGCCCCCCAGCUCCUGGCCUUGCACACGCGCACCCACGGAGCGGAGCUGCAGUUGCCACCAGCAAGGGCGAGGCAAAGUGUGCAAAUCUAAAAGGGAAAAGCAAGAGAUCGGGGAAGCAGAUAACCCAUUUCCUCUGCGCCCUGCUCUGUACCGCAGGGGUGCCCGCGGCUGGGGGCCGGGGUGCAAGGACGCCCAAGGAGGCGGAGGGAAGAGGAGACGGUGGGGAAUGAACACGGGCCUUCACAGAGGGCGGCGGGGCAAAUCCUCAGGCCGGGCCCAGGUGCCAUUCCAACGCAGAGGUGCCCCCCGACACUCCUGCCUCCCCUCGGCUCAGCACCUGUCGUCCCCCACCCCGCCCCACUGGUCCUCUUCAGGACCCCUUCCCUUAGACUCCUUUCAUCCUCUGUUCAGCAACUACCCCUCUACUCUCAUUUCAUCACGAUGGAUCCCUUAGAGACCCGGAGCCGGGUGGCAUUUUGGAGCCCCCCCAUUUCACAUUUGAAAACAGGAGACGUCCCGCUUCUCGUCAACAACCCUACCUCUGGGAUGUAGCGGAGAGGAACCUCUGUCCCCUGACACCCCGCCCCAGCUCCACCAGAUUCAGGCCCGGUGCCCCUGACCGGGUCACCGCUGCUCCUACCAGCUUGUUGGUGGCCGACGAUGGUUUAGUGCAGGUGUCACACACCGACCCCGGACUCUGUCCCCUUUCCAGGACUCUGUGACUCUUACCAACAAAUCAGCCAUUGGUACUGAGCCCUUUGCGGCCCGUGCUCGCUGUUUGCUCCACCGUCAUCCACUCAAAUGCUUGACGUGCCACCUCCACCGCCCUGCCCUCUCACCAAUCAACCCGCCUCAACGCCCAUACAGCGCUCCUUCCUUCUGAACUCAUGGCACCUCCCGUCUGAAAUUUAUUUUGGAGGCUUUACUUUCUUGAUUAAGCCCUUGAGCUGCUAUUUGACUCCCUUGUAUCUUUGGUUCUCACCUAGAAAAUCAUCUUUAUUGAGGUGAGGGAGGAGGGACAACCCCAAGCAGGCUCCACAUCCAGCGUGGAGCUGAUGCAAGACUCGAUCUCACGACCCUGAGAUCGUGACCUGAGCUGAAAUCAAGGGUCUGACACUUAAGCGACGGAGCCACCCAGGCACUCCUGGAAAACGAUCACCUUGAAAGUAGAAACCACGUGUUAUUUAUUUCUACAUAUUUACCCGUCAGCUAGGAUUAUACUGCACACGGGAUAGAAAUUUAAGAAAUAUUUGCACAAUAAGCAGACUCGGCUAACAGAACGGAUGCUUUGAUGAAAGAAGGUUGCAAUGAAAAAUAACUAUUUCUUAGCAUGUAGGCUUUAAAUAUUUUGUAAAUCUUGCCAUACAGCUAGAUUGGAUCAUACCAAGAAGAAAAGUGGGGCCAGGCAAAGCUGUGAAGAUUCUUUAGCCCUGACUUGUGUUUGUGGAUUGGUGGGAGAGGGAAGGAAAAGAGCUCCAUUCCGUUUAUUCACAUGAGAUGGAUAUGCCUAACUCGGCGAUCUCAGGAGUCCUACAAUCUACACCAACAGUUGGAAUCUGGAAUACUUAGAUUUCCAGCAUCCUUCAAAGUGUUUUCCCAGAAUCACACUGCAAAUCUUAAAAAAAAAAAAAAAAUUAUUUUAGAGAGAGGGGAAGGGAGAGAGAGAGAGAGAGCAAGAGAGCGAGCAUGCACCAGAUGGGGCGGGGGCGGGGUGGGGUGGGCAGUAUAUGUGGAAGGAAGCAGAGGGAGAGAGAGAAAGAGUCCCAAGCAGACUCCACACUGAGCCGGAUCCAGGCUUAAUCUCAGGACCCUGGGAUCACAACCUGAGCCAAAUCCAAGAAUCAGAGGUUUAACCCACCUUGCCCCCCAGACGCCUCCUGUCACCCCACUGCAAAUCUAAGCAAAUGGCCUCAUCCUUCAGCCCCUUCCUUGAUGAACCCCUGUCUUAGUCGUCAGAAGAUACGGGAGGAUGUGAUCCAAACCAUGGGUUUUGGUUGGUUUGCUUGCUUUAUGUCAAGUCUGGAGGUCCAGAUGCAAGUAUGUUUCAGGAAAUUACCUUGGAACUUGGAAUGUGUUUCCUCUCGUUAACAAUACAUAGAAAGUAGGGCCUAAAACACAAGGAGUUUAAUUAAUUCUAUAGUUGAAAUGCAUUAUAUGUAAAAUAGAUUCCACUAUUUAGAGUGAGGACAAAGCCACUGCCAUUUCCAUUUUAUAUAUGGAAAUUUGAACAUCACAUUACAAACAAACAUUUGGAACAAAAUCUGUUCAUAUAUUAGGGAAUGUUCGCAGCUACAUUUUAUCCACUAAAACCAAUGUUCUUGAACUUAUUUUUCUAAAUGGAAUGUGGUUAUAUGUUUGAGUGUAUCUAGUCUUUCCUUAAUUGGUCCCAUAAGAAGGGAAAGAGCUUAACGUCCCAUCACUUUCCAAUUUCUUUGCAAAAUGUUUUUGUUUCCUUAGGAAGAAAUCAAUUACCACAUAGCCCUUAAUACAUGCUACGUCUCUGGACAAAUUUUACUUCGUCCUGUGAACAUUUUGAACCUUGAAGUAUUCCUUUUAACUUAAGCUUUAGUCAUUUGUAUUCAUUUCGAAUUGAGACAAAACUCACUCGCUGAGUUCGGUUUAAACUAGACCACUUCCGCUGGAAACAAAUAACUACAUUUUUAAUAGUUUAAUAGCUUGCCCUUACCUAAAAUUGCGUCUUAUCUAAAAAAAAGUUGACUGGGGUAUAUCCCACAUACCUCUCCAUGUGAAAGUACAACAACGAAGGUCUUCUUUUAAUUCAACUAUCAAGCACCAAUUACCCGUGGGAACUUAUAAAAUCUAAUGUCCGAGGCCACUGAGUUUAAAAGAGACUUUUUCUGCUCUCGGGCAAGCUUCCUCACAUGCUAAGGGCAUAUCUGGUAUCUUUAUCCACAUUAUACCCGGAUGGAAUAUCAGCAAAAAUUGGGCUCAAAUCUUUAGUGCGAAGUUUCCAGGAAGCACUUCAGGAGCAGCAUGACGCAGAAGAGUCCAUUCAGUCUUUGGAGACAGAGAGGGAUUUGACUCCUAGCUCUGCCCCCUAUCAGCUAUGUGAUUUGGAAUAAAUUCAUUAAUUUCUCUAAGCCACGGCGUCUUCAUCUAUUAAAUAGUGCCAACCUCUGGGACCCAUGUUCAGCCACGAGAAAGUUAAUAAAUCAUUGAAGAAGCACUUCCCUAUAUUGGUAAACGGCUGCUGCCCAGGUCCCACCAACCCCCAUACCCCACCCUACACCAGGAGCCUCUGGACCUCCCCCAAAUUCGGGAACCAAGGGUCAAAACCUCACCAAGCAGAGAGGCUUCGGGGAUCCUGUCCCAGGGCUGCUCCUCUGACUGGCCAGGGCCCGUGCUCUGCUGGUGCCUACACAUAAAAUCAUCAACGUCCCAAACCUCACACGGUCACGCUCAGGCUGCAGUGGGAUGGCAAUGCUUAGCACUUAGCGGGGAUUUGUGUUCUAUGCUGCGAACGGUUCUGUCCUUAAUCUCACAGUCCCCAGUCUGCUCUAGUUUAUCAAGAAAAUCUCUCACUUCAUGAGAUCAUAGAAGCUCCCCCCUCCCCCAGAUUAUCCCUUCCCCUCUUUGAUCCUGGCACUUGUGACUCACAUGACUUUAGCAUGCAUGUAUUUAGGAAUCUUACAAUGCAGGGAAAAUGAAAGAUCUCUACAUCAGAAUGGACUUUGGCUUUCAAAAAGACCUCCCCCCUCUUUUUUUUUUUUUGACUUGCAUAACAGAUUAAUAAAGGUCUGGAUGUAGUUUCCACGUUGUGCGGUUCGUCUGACAUCAUAGAACCACAUACACACAACAUCAAGGAGAAGAGUAAGGUUUGUAACUUGGUUGGACUCUGAAGCCGGAGCCUAAGUCAUCUCAAUUUCCCUGUUUCAAGCAAAUGAAUGUUCAGCGC
rnacentral:lncRNA from 1 species